rnacentral:rRNA from 1 species
GUGGGGAAUAUUGGACAAUGGUCGGAAGACUGAUCCAGCCAUGCCGCGUGAAGGAAUAAGGUCCUAUGGAUUGUAAACUUCUUUUGAGAGGGAGCAAUAAGGUGUACGUGUACACCGAUGAGAGUACCUUUCGAAUAAGCAUCGGCUAACUCCGUGCCAGCAGCCGCGGUAAUACGGAGGAUGCGAGCGUUAUCCGGAUUUAUUGGGUUUAAAGGGUGCGUAGGCGGUUUUUUAAGUCAGCGGUGAAACGCAAGGGCUCAACCCUUGACCUGCCGUUGAAACUGGAGGACUUGAAUGCGGAUGCUGUGGGAGGAAUGUGUGGUGUAGCGGUGAAAUGCAUAGAUAUCACACAGAACACCGAUUGCGAAGGCAUCUCACAAAUCCGUGAUUGACGCUGAGGCACGAAAGUGUGGGGAUCAAACAGG